ensembl:lncRNA
CCAGGAGAUGACAGGGAUGAAAAUUCCCUUGUAGUCACCCAGCCCUUUGUGUGCUGGCGAGCUGGGUAAUCCACAUGAUGCAGGCAGCCAUUUGGCUAGCAGAUUAGAAAGAAUUUGCAUUAAUGGCUGAGAAUUUCGACAGCAGUUGCCGAGCAAGGGGAUGUGCACUGACAGAGCCUGAACGCAAUGCUGCAUUCACCUCGCUAGGUAAGGCUUCGAGGUGGGGACACGGUGUGCACAGCCCAGCGAGUCACUGGCUGGGACAGGCAUCGUGACGCAGAGAUAAGGUAAUGUGCUCUGCAAGAAGGGAGGUGCUGAGAUUACGAGGCAGAAUUUACAUGUGUUCUAAAACACCACUCUCACAAAAUGCAAAUGAUUCUUCGUCACAUGGAAAUACCAAGGAAGGUUAUUUAUCUGGAGGACUUUGAAGAACCAGCAUCUGUUUUAGAAGGCAGCUAUAGUGAAAUGAAGAUCUUAAGCCCAGACCUGGUUGUUCAGAAGGCAGGAUGGUAUCUGACAGUGCCAAGUCCCCAGAUGUGACUCCUUCCUAAAAACUGUUGAUGAAGGAACCUGCGGUUCCCAAGGAAGUUCUGUACUGAUGUAUCCAACUCCUGGCGCCUUCUUAUUCCACAGCCUUUUACUUUUCUCUCUACGAAACUGCAAUGGGAGCUGGAGCUCCCAGACCAGGAGCCCUGUGCCCCCCAGGCAGCCCCUGCACCGUGUUUGGGGUGCAGCCUAAAGCACUGCAUUUUGUCCUGCAGUGGGGGAGAAGCAUCUCCUCAAUUGCACAACCCCUAGACACACUCACGCUUCAUUCCUCUCUGGGUAUUACUGCAGAGAAGUGGAGAAGAAGUAAAAAAAGUGGUUUCUCUUUCUUUCACAACUGAAAGUUUUACUCAAAGCUUCUCAGAAAUUGGGCAGCAAUGGAAGAACAGGAGGCUGAGGGGGCUAAGGGCACAGAUGAUAAUGAUGUACCAUACGCUAAAGGAAAACAAAAUCCCUUUCUCUAGAAGAAAUUGCUCACCGAUGUACCGCAGGCUGACAUGCUGCACGCACCCAGACCUCGGUUAGUGGCAGGAAGUGGCAGGCUCAUACCAGAGCAAACUGUGAGCAUCUCAGGGCAUCAGGAGCGUGGUGCUGCACGGAGCCACCCUGUGGCACCAGCAAGCUAAGGGAGCAAGGGCCGUCAGGGGACAGACACGGUGGUGGCUUUUUGCUCAUGUUGAAAGCCAGGCAGGCAGGAGUGGCACGGGCUGGCACCGGCCCAGCAGCCACAGCUACAUGGGGAGAUCAUCAGCUGGGGAACGGGCACCAUGUGCCACUCACCCCUGGACAUGAGCCUCACACCAGGAGUCCUGCAACAGCAAGCCGCAUCACUCUCACAAUUCGCUCUGCUCUCUGUGACUUUUCUGGCAUAGCAACAACAUCAGCUGGGAUGCAGCAUCUCAUGUGCUCCAACUACAGAGGUGAUAAUCCUGCUCUCCUUCUCCAAUAGGCUUAAUGUUGUCAGAAGCAAGAUUUCCUCUUUGCUUUCCAUGUGAACUCUAAGGUCUAACACAUCAGUCACCUCGGCUCGCUGUCUCUGACCACCUCUGGAGGCAGGAGGGGAUUCCACGGGAGCUGCUCUCCCAAGCCAUGUGCUCAUGGGCCGUGCCACUCUGCCAUCACGGCCAGCUCUGUUCUCAGCGUGGUAAAGGCUCCCACUUCCAUCUCUGCUGGCUCAGAACACACCUCGUCUUAUAUGGUCCAGUCCGCUCCCUGCUCACUAACCUUCCAGAAAGAAGACGGCGAGGAUCUGGGGAGACCAUCUGGUCACAGCAGCCACACAGAGAUAGGAUCAGUGGUCAGACAAUCCCCAGCAGACGUUUGUGUAACCCGUUCCUGGAAGCCUUCAAGGAAGGAGACUCGUCCCUGAGAAUAGCGUCUCAUACGCAGUUAUGUUUGAAGUUUAUCACAGUUCUGCUGUGAGGGGGUAGCAAAAUUGUCAGCUGUGAUCUCCACUCCACUGGCACAGGAUGGGCUCAAACUGAAUAUGAAUCAGCAUCAUACGGAGGACAGGGAUAACAUGCACAUACCACAGCCCGCAUCAGUUACAGUGGGCACUG